CGGAUCCUCCCACUUCAGCCUCCCAAAUAGCUAGGACUACAGCUGCACGUUCUGCUAAAUGCUGUGAUGACCAAGAGAGGCAUUUAAAUUUUUAUUUGGAGGACUCACUUCCAACUUAGAACACAACCUACAAAGGAAUUCCCUACCAGCAUGCCAGCACAUCAUUUGGAAGUUCAAGGUAUUCUUGCUCAACAACUGCACACAUUAAAAGUCCCUGGAGUACAUGACGCCUGCUGCCUGGGGUUGGACUCUGUCGCUGGGGAUUCUGGAAAUUAGGGUAGAAUUCACAGCUCUGCCUUUCCACCUGCUGUGACGUCUUCAAGUUACAACUCCGCCGCCUAUCAGGGACCUCCGUGAUUAGUAAGGGGGAAAUUGUCACAUUUUUCUCCCUAGAUCACAGGUCUGAGGAAGUAGUUUUCCUAAGAUUUUGUAAAAUGGCUUUAUAAUUAAAAACAUUGAUUUUCCUAUUAGAAA